AGUGAACGCUGGCGGUAGGCCUAACACAUGCAAGUCGAACGGCAGCACAGUAAGAGCUUGCCCUUACGGGUGGCGAGUGGCGGACGGGUGAGGAAUACAUCGGAAUCUACUUUUUCGUGGGGGAUAACGUAGGGAAACUUACGCUAAUACCGCAUACGACCUACGGGUGAAAGCAGGGGAUCUUCGGACCUUGCGCGAUUGAAUGAGCCGAUGUCGGAUUAGCUAGUUGGCGGGGUAAAGGCCCACCAAGGCGACGAUCCGUAGCUGGUCUGAGAGGAUGAUCGGCCACACUGGAACUGAGACACGGUCCAGACUCCUACGGGAGGCAGCAGUGGGGAAUAUUGGACAAUGGGCGCAAGCCUGAUCCAGCCAUACCGCGUGAGUGAAGAAGGCCUUCGGGUUGUAAAGCCCUUUUGUUGGGAAAGAAAAGCAGCAGGUUAAUACCCCGCUGUUCUGACGGUACCCAAUGAAUAAGCACCGGCUAACUUCGUG
rnacentral:rRNA from 1 species